rnacentral:rRNA from 1 species
CCCUUAGAUGUUCUGGGCUGCACGCGCGCUACACUGAUACCUUCAGCGAGUCCAGCACCUUGCCUGGGAAGGUGGGGUAACCUCUGGAAAGUGUAUCGUGAUGGGGAUAGAUUAUUGUAAUUAUUAAUCUUCAACGAGGAAUUCCUAGUAAGCAUGUGUCAUCAGCCCGUGCUGAUUACGUCCCUGCCCUUUGUACACACCGCCCGUCGCUCCUACCGAUUGAGUGAUCCGGUGAGGCCUCGGGAUUGUGGCCAGUUUCCUUUAUUGGGAGUUGGCUGCGAGAACUUGUCCAAACCUUAUCAUUUAGAGGAAGGUGAAGUCGUAACA